rnacentral:sRNA from 1 species
CUAGAGUUCUCCUGAUCACUUCAUUGUAGACUCAAUAAGGAGUAGUUGUUUGCACUGAAGUGUUUGGGGGAACUCCUGGU